rnacentral:rRNA from 1 species
UACAGAGGUGGCAAGCGUUGUUCGGAUUUAUUGGGCGUAAAGGGUCCGUAGGCGGCUUAGAAAGUCGGAUGUGAAAUCCCACAGCUCAACUGUGGAACUGCAUUCGAAACUUCUAGGCUCGAGUGUGAUAGGGGUAAAGGGAAUUCCCGGUGUAAGGGUGAAAUCUGCAGAGAUCGGGAGGAACACCAGUCGCGAAGGCGCUUUACUGGAUCACUACUGACGCUGAGGGACGAAAGCCAGGGGAGCAAACGGG